UACAGAGGUCUCAACCGUUGUUCGGAUUCAUUGGGCGUAAAGGGUGCGUAGGCGGCUUUGCAAGUCGGGUGUGAAAGCCCUCAGCUCAACUGAGGAAGUGCGCCCGAAACUGCAGAGCUUGAGUACCGGAGAGGAUGGCGGAAUUCCCCAAGUAGAGGUGAAAUUCGUAGAUAUGGGGAGGAACACCGGUGGCGAAGGCGGCCAUCUGGACGGAUACUGACGCUGAGACGCGAAAGCGUGGGGAGCAAACAGG
rnacentral:rRNA from 1 species